AACAAUAUAGCUUAAAAAAAAGUAAAGUUUUGAAGCUACUAAGAUGGUUUUGUCCUGUUGUUA
rnacentral:tRNA from 1 species